CCUACGGGGGGCAGCAGUCGAGAAUUAUUCACAAUGGGGGAAACCCUGAUGGUGCGACGCCGCGUGGGGGAAUGAAGGUCUUCGGAUUGUAAACCCCUGUCAUGUGGGAGCAAAUUAAAAAGAUAGUACCACAAGAGGAAGAGACGGCUAACUCUGUGCCAGCAGCCGCGGUAAUACAGAGGUCUCAAGCGUUGUUCGGAAUCACUGGGCGUAAAGCGUGCGUAGGCUGUUUCGUAAGUCGUGUGUGAAAGGCGCGGGCUCAACCCGCGGACGGCACAUGAUACUGCGAGACUAGAGUAAGGGAGGGGGAACCGGAAUUCUCGGUGUAGCAGUGAAAUGCGUAGAUAUCGAGAGGAACACUCGUGGCGAAGGCGGGUUCCUGGACAUUAACUGACGCUGAGGCACGAAGGCCAGGGGAGCGGAAGGGAUUAGAUACCCCGGUAGUC
rnacentral:rRNA from 1 species